GAUGAAGAACGUGGCGAAAUGCGAUACGUAAUGUGAAUUGCAGAAUUCAGUGAAUCAUCGAGUCUUUGAACGCACAUUGCGCCCCCUGGUAUUCCGGGGGGCAUGCCUGUCCGAGCGUCAUUGCUGCCCUCAAGCACGGCUUGUGUGUUGGGCCUCCGUCCUCCUCCCGGGGGACGGGCCCGAAAGGCAGCGGCGGCACCGCGUCCAGUCCUCGAGCGUAUGGGGCUUCGUCACCCGCUCUUGUAGGCCCGGCCGGCGCUUGCCGACACAUCAAUCUUUUUUCCAGGUUGACCUCGGAUCAGGUAGGGAUACCCGCUGAACUUAAGCAUAUCAAUAAGCGGAGGA
rnacentral:misc_RNA from 1 species